rnacentral:rRNA from 1 species
GACUACCUGUCACUCGAACCAUUGNUUUAAGUUGAUCAUGGCUCAGNCUAAGGGCGUAAGGCGUGCUACACUGCAAGUCGAACGAGAAAGUGGAGCAAUCCAUGAGUAGCGACGGGUGAGUAACACGUGACUACCUACCCUUGAGUGGGGGAUAACCCCGGGAAACCGGGGCUAAUACCGCAUAAUCUCGCAAGAGCAAAUGCGCAAGCAGCUUAAGGAGGGGGUCGCGGCUGAUUAGCUAGUUGGUGAGGUAACGGCUCACCAAGGCGAUGAUCAGUAGCCGGCCUGAGAGGGCGCAUGGCCACACUGGAACUGAAACACGGUCCAGACUCCUACGGGAGGCAGCAGUGGGGAACUUUGCGCAAUGGGGGAAACCCUGACGCAGCAACGCCGCGUGGAGGAUGAAGUUCCUUGGAACGUAAACUCCUUUCGACCGGGACGAUAAUGACGGUACCGGUAGAAGAAGCCCCGGCUAACUUCGUGCCAGCAGCCGCGGUAAUACGAGGGGGGCAAGCGUUGUUCGGAAUUAUUG